UACUCAGGCCGUAUCAGCCUGAAGGCGCCCGAUCUCGUCUGAUCUCGGAAGCUAAGCAGGGUCGGGCCUGGUUAGGAUCUUGGAUGGGAGACCACCUGGGAAUCCCGGGUGCUCGAGGCU
rnacentral:rRNA from 1 species